GAACCAGUACCGUGAGGGAAAGGUGAAAAGUACCCUGAAUAAGGGGGUGAAAUAGAACCUGAAACCGCACGCCUACAAGCGGUCGGAGCAACUUUGUGUUGUGACGGCGUGCCUUUUGCAUAAUGAGCCUACGAGUUACUCUUCCCUAGCGAGGUUAAGGCACUCAGUGCUGCAGCCGGAGCGAAAGCGAGUCUGAAUAGGGCGCAUAGUUAGUGGAGGUAGACGCGAAACCCGGUGAUCUACCCAUGACCAGGAUGAAGUUCAGGUAACACUGAAUGGAGGUCCGAACCAGUUGACGUUGAAAAGUCUUUGGAUGAGUUGUGGGUAGGGGUGAAAGGCCAAUCAAACCGGGAAAUAGCUCGUACUCCCCGAAAUGUAUUUAGGUACAGCCUUGAGUUAAAGUGAUAUAGAGGUAGAGCUACUGAUAGGACUAGGGGGCUUCACCGCCUACCAAAUCCUGACAAACUCCGAAUGCUAUAUCAUGUUCCUCAGGAGUGAGGGCAUGGGUGCUAAGGUCCAUGUCCGAGAGGGAAACAACCCAGAUUAUCAGCUAAGGUC
rnacentral:rRNA from 1 species